GCCAAGGCGGAGCGCGACGUUUCAUUUUGUCUUGUUCUCCGCCAGUGCGUAGUGUGAUCGAGGGAUCAUGGUUGAGUUACAACAACUUGGUUUUGCACCACAGUGCAAUACAACCAAACUGCACUGCCAUGAGGACAUCCCAUUUCUGUCUGCCUGUCAGCUCAGACUGGAACACUUGUGAUAUGUAUGGAAAAUGCAGGCAUUUUAAUGGGAGCCAUGCGGAGAAGCAGAGAUGGGUGCCGUGCUGCCAGUCACAGGAAACAACUUCAACACGCCGAAAUUGCUGAAUGGUUCGGCACAGCUUGCGGCCGCGCGGGCGCCACCCCGACACUGUUACAGCGGACAGGAUGAAGACCCAAGCAGUCCCUGACACGCUGCAUUCAAAGUGACGUUCUGUAACAAUUGCUUCGCUCUGUACGACAUUGUCGACAUUCAGCCGAACUUCACUAACUCUGCUGUUAAUGAACUAACAUGAAAUGAAACAAUGGAAAAUCCAGGAUGGAAUGUAACAAUACGAGAGAAGGGAAGUUGCUACUCACCAUUUAGUGGAGAUGCUGAGUCGCGAUAGGCACAAUAAAAAGAUUGACACAAUCAUAGCUUUCCGACAUUAAGGCCUUUGCAGUUUAGACGGAGGGUAGGUGAGAAGGUGUGGAGUGGGGGACGGGGUAAGUAGGAGAAAGGAGAGAAAUAAAAAUAAAGGAAGUUAA